rnacentral:rRNA from 1 species
CGUUUGUCCGUGGUGGAUCUGCGGCCCUCGGUGCUCAAGCUCCACCACCGCAUCGAGCCGUGGCAGGGGCGAUGGCUCUCUAAGGCAGCUCGUACGAUCCUCAUCAACUCGUCCCUCUCCAGUCUCCUCCUGUUCAUCAUGAGCUUCUGCAGCCUCCCCGAGACUCUUCACCAUGAGAUCGGUACGAUCCAUGCCCGUUUCUAUUGGGCUGGCGAGGGUGAUAAGCAGAAGUACCAUAUGGUCCGCUGGACCAAAAUCUGCAAGCCCCGCGACCAAGGUGGCCUUGGCAUCAUGUCCUCCAAGCACAUGAACUUGGCCCUCCUCACUCGUUGUCUCUGGCGCAUUGCUAAUGGCAAUGGAGGCCUAUGGUUGUAG